GUGGCGGACGGGUGAGUAACGCGUAAAGAACUUGCCUCACAGUUAGGGACAACAUUUGGAAACGAAUGCUAAUACCUGAUAUUAUGAUUUUAGGGCAUCCUAAGAUUAUGAAAGCUGUAUGCGCUGUGAGAGAGCUUUGCGUCCCAUUAGCUAGUUGGAGAGGUAACGGCUCACCAAGGCGAUGAUGGGUAGCCGGCCUGAGAGGGUGAACGGCCACAAGGGGACUGAGACACGGCCCUUACUCCUACGGGAGGCAGCAGUGGGGAAUAUUGGACAAUGGACCAAAAGUCUGAUCCAGCAAUUCUGUGUGCACGAUGACGUUUUUCGGAAUGUAAAGUGCUUUCAGUUGGGAAGAAAAAAAUGACGGUACCAACAGAAGAAGUGACGGCUAAAUACGUGCCAGCAGCCGCGGUAAUACGUAUGUCACAAGCGUUAUCCGGAUUUAUUGGGCGUAAAGCGCGUCUAGGUGGUUAUGUAAGUCUGAUGUGAAAAUGCAGGGCUCAACUCUGUAUUGCGUUGGAAACUGCAUGACUAGAGUACUGGAGAGGUAAGCGGAACUACAAAUGUAGAGGUGAAAUUCGUAGAUAUUUGUAGGAAUGCCGAUGGGGAAGCCAGCUUACUGGACAGAUACUGACGCUAAAGCGCGAAAGCGUGGGUAGCAAACAGGAUUAGACACCCUGGUAGUCCACGCCGUAAACGAUGAUUACUAGGUGUUGGGGGUCGAACCUCA
rnacentral:rRNA from 1 species